AUUGAACGCUGGCGGCAUGCUUUACACAUGCAAGUCGAACGGCAGCGCGGGCUUCGGCCUGGCGGCGAGUGGCGAACGGGUGAGUAAUGCAUCGGAACGUGCCCAGUAGUGGGGGAUAGCCCGGCGAAAGCCGGAUUAAUACCGCAUACGACCUGAGGGUGAAAGCGGGGGACCGAAAGGCCUCGCGCUAUUGGAGCGGCCGAUGUCGGAUUAGCUAGUUGGUGGGGUAAAGGCUUACCAAGGCGACGAUCCGUAGCUGGUCUGAGAGGACGACCAGCCACACUGGGACUGCGACACGGCCCAGACUCCUACGGGAGGCAGCAGUGGGGAAUUUUGGACCAUGGGGGCAACCCUGAUCCAGCCAUGCCGCGUGCGGGAAGAAGGCCUUCGGGUUGUAAACCGCUUUUGUUCGGGAAGAAAUCCUCUGGGCUAAUACCCCGGGGGGAUGACGGUACCGGAAGAAUAAGCACCGGCUAACUACGUG
rnacentral:rRNA from 1 species